AAGGGUGCGCUGGGCUUGAUCUUGAAUGCUGUGUAGCCAGCUGAGCUGCCCAGAGCACAUCAUUCUUAGCUUUUGUUCUAGAUUUAUAUGUAAUUAUAUGCUUUGCAUAUAAUUACUGAUUGUUGUACCUGUCGUCAGGUUUCUGUUAACUGGAGUUGGUUACAAAUAUGUCAGAUUUAGUUGUAGUUUAAUUCAAUAGUUUUGUUUUUUACCCUUCCUGAACAAAUGAAGAUAAAAAAGGAAAGGAAGGAACAACGAACCUGAGGAUUUAAGAGAUUCAGAGCAAUUCAAAGGAGAACAGAUGAUGGCCACACCUCAUGAAGCCCCAACAUCUGUGGAUAUAAAUCAGCCAUCAAAAGACCCGGCAAUGAGGGUCAGUCUGAACCAAAAGGAGGAAAUUAAUGUGACAGACCAGAAAGAAAUUCCACAACUGGAGCCGCAGCUGAGAACAUAUUUAAUAACAACAUGUAACUCGGGAAUAAAGGAGAGGACAUUAUCAGCCACGGUUUUUCACCAAGCAAACCAUCAACCUGUCGCCAACAGUAAGAAGAACACUGAGAACAGUGAGAUUAGCCAAUACAGACCCGCAAGAUCUCUAGAGGAUGGCUGCCUGUCUGCGCUGCUGGACUGUCUGUCUUGCCGCUGUUCAGCCCUGGCCGUGAGGCUGCUGCAGGCCUGUUCCUGCUGUCUUCACUCAGCCUGCAUCUCCUGCCACGACUGCUGCUCCCGCUGCCACGCAACCCUUCUUGGCACCCCUGCUGAGGACCUACACUGCCACACCCACUGCCACAGGCACUGCCACUCAUUCUUGUUUGAGUUGUGUUGCUGUGAUCCCACUGAGUGCCUGGAGAUCUGUCUAGAAUGCUCGAAACUCUGCCAUUACAACUAAACUCACUGGCACAGUCACUUUUCGAGGCCACACCACUUAGCCACACUGCUUUCAAAAGUUCAGUAGGUUCAUUAAAAUAGCUGGGUUUCCAAGAAAUAAAACAUGAAAUUCAUUUGAAUGAUCUAACA
rnacentral:lncRNA from 1 species